AAGGAUUCCCCUAGUAACUGCGAGUGAAGCGGGAAAAGCUCAAAUUUAAAAUCUGGCGGUCUUAGGCUGUCCGAGUUGUAAUCUAGAGAAGUGUUAUCCGCGCUGGACCGUGUACAAGUCUCCUGGAAUGGAGCGUCAUAGAGGGUGAGAAUCCCGUCUUUGACACGGACUACCAGGGCUUUGUGAUGCGCUCUCAAAGAGUCGAGUUGUUUGGGAAUGCAGCUCAAAAUGGGUGGUAAAUUCCAUCUAAAGCUAAAUAUUGGCGAGAGACCGAUAGCGAACAAGUACCGUGAGGGAAAGAUGAAAAGAACUUUGGAAAGAGAGUUAAACAGUACGUGAAAUUGCUGAAAGGGAAACGCUUGAAGUCAGUCGCGUUGGUCAGGGAUCAACCUUGCUUUUGCUGGGUGUACUUUCUGGUUAACGGGUCAACAUCAAUUUUGAUUGUUGGAAAAAGAUCAAGGGAAUGUGGCAUCUUCGGAUGUGUUAUAGCCUUUGGUUGUAUACAACAAUUGGGAUUGAGGAACUCAGCACGCCGAAAGGCCGGGUUUUAACCACGUUCGUGCUUAGGAUGUUGGCAUAAUGGCUUUAAUCGACCCGUCUUGAAACACGGACCAAGGAGUCUAACAUGCCUGCGAGUGUUUGGGUGGAAAACCCGAGCGCGUAAUGAAAGUGAAAGUUGAGAUCCCUGUCGCGGGGAGCAUCGACGCCCGGACCAGAAAUUUAUGGACGGUUCCGCGGUAGAGCAUGUAUGUUGGGACCCGAAAGAUGGUGAACUAUGCCUGAAUAGGGUGAAGCCAGAGGAAACUCUGGUGGAGGCUCGUAGCGAUUCUGACGUGCAAAUCGAUCGUCAAAUUUGGGUAUAGGGGCGAAAGACUAAUCG
rnacentral:rRNA from 1 species